AUUAAAACGAUGAAGAGAAAAGUAACUAUCAAUUAAAGUUACAGAGAGCUCCGUUUGGUGAAAAGGAGUAGUUUGAUUGAUUCGUGAAAGUAGUCUCUGAGUGUUGGAUGCGAAAGUUGAGUGUCCAAUGGUUGCACCCAUUAUAGUGCCAAGGUAUCGCAAGCUUUAGCUUUGCCGUACUUGGUGAGGUAUGCCUUGAGAAAAGUAUACAAAGAUAGGUGGUAACACGUGAAAACGUCCUUAUU
rnacentral:ncRNA from 1 species